UACGGAAGAUGCGAGCGUUAUCCGGAUUUAUUGGGUUUAAAGGGUGCGUAGGCGGGAUGCCAAGUCAGCGGUAAAAAUGCGGUGCUCAACGCCGUCGAGCCGUUGAAACUGGCGUUCUUGAGUGGGCGAGAAGUAUGCGGAAUGCGUGGUGUAGCGGUGAAAUGCAUAGAUAUCAGGAGGAACACCGGCGGCGAAGGCGGCCUGCUGGACUGCAACUGACGUUGAGGCCCGAAAGCGUGGGGAGCAAACAGG
rnacentral:rRNA from 1 species